CUGCGAAUAUUCUCACUGUUCUGAUUUUGUAAUAAUCAGGACAGGCUAAACGGUCGCUAUAAUAAGACCAUGCUUGUGUGCCCAGACCCAGUUCUUUACCCACCUAGAUCUGGUCUUAGAAAUGCUGGUGAUAAUU